rnacentral:miRNA from 1 species
ACUGGACUUGGAGUCAAAAGG